GGAAGCGUGCCCGAAAGUUAAGGACCUCCUUGAUAGGGAGGAUUAUAAGAGUUCAAAUCUCCUCACUUCC
rnacentral:tRNA from 1 species